GAGACGUCCGGGGAAUGCAGCAAACAGGAGCAAGCAAACAGGGUCACAGCAGUUUGCGCAGGCAGGGUCAUGCCAACUUGAGCUGCCUCAAUUAUUGUUCGGGUAAAUCAGGCAGCUGAAGCGCAGGGAAGAAGCACAGAUGUCCUCUGCUGGUAGCAGCAGGACAUUUACAAACAGCAGGAUGCAUUCCUUCCACUGGCAAACGCGGCUGCCAUUAAAACCUGUUGUUCCAGCGUGACUUCGAAACAA